rnacentral:misc_RNA from 1 species
GUGAAUCAUCGAAUUUUUGAACGCAAAUUGCACUUUCCGGUCUUCCGGAGAGUAUGCCUGUUUGAGGGUCGGUAAAAUGAAAUAUUGAUUUGUUGCUUAUUUCGUAACCUUCCGGAAUUGGGUUAAUUUGAUCAUAAGUGACUUAAAAUUACUUAAUAAUUUCGGUAUGAUUAACGUUAUUAAUGCUUUCGUUUUGUUGUCGGAUUUUAUCAGAUGUAAC